rnacentral:lncRNA from 1 species
GGAUUCAUGGGUCACAGGCAUCAGAAGAACCAGAAAGAGCAAAGAAUUAUUCUGGUGCCCGUCCUCUCUUUCCAUCGGGGCUGCCUCACAUUCCCAGCCCCCAUGUCUGCUUUCUUGUCACUGCCAGCAUUCUUCCUCCUCCUCACUCUGUUUUUCUACCCCAGGAUGAUGCCCUGGAGCAAUUUCCCUGCAGAGAAGGGGCAGUUGUUUCGACUACCGUCUGCACUCAACAGGUGAUGGCCCUUGCCUUAUUUAGGCCGUAUCUUCUUUAAUCUGCACUUUCUGGGGCCCUGUUGCUUCACCCCACACUGUUGUAGCCCAUCUAAUGUCUCCCCUGCUGGGCGGGGCUGGGCCACUGGGAAAAUCAUUACCGCUGCCAUUGCUGCUGCUGCUGUUUUUUUCCUUAAUUUAAUUUUAUUUAUCUUUAUGUGGUUCUGAGGAUGGAACCCAGGGCCUCCCACGUGCUAGGCGAGCGUUCUACCGCUGAGCCACAACCCCAGCCCCCUGCCAGUGCUUCUUUACUCCCCAAACAGGACAAGCUCUGACUCGGCCCUUCACACAAGUGUGAUGAACCCCAACCCCCAGGACACUUAUCCAGGACCCACACCUCCUAGUGUCCUACAAGGCCGUCGUGGGGGUAAGUGGCCAAAUCCCAGGGUAGGGAGUAGCUGUGAGCUUUUGAUAGAAUCAGAUUGGUAAGUGAGGGCUGCUGCCAACUCCGCUGCAUCCCUUGCAGGUUUUCUGGAUGGUGAAAUAGACUCCAAAGGUAUGUGUUCUUCAACACAUUGUGGAGACCAAAUGCCAAUAGAAUUUCUGGGCUGACAUUGGAGACUUCAUGCAGGGUUAGGACACAGGACUCCCUCUGCCUGUCUCUGCUUCCUGUGUGCCUUCCUGGCUCCUUCUCCAGCCUCCCCAUCACCUGUCUUUCUCUUUCAAGUCCCUGCUAUUGAAGAGAACUUGCUAGAUGACAAACAUUUGCUGAAACCAUGGGAUGCUAAGAAGGUAGGUGUGGGCCACUGGAUGUCACCCACCCUUCCCUUCCCAUGGGCAGGCUUCUAGAGUUCCCUCCUGAGCUCUGUCCUCAUUUUCCACAUUCUUCCUUAGCUGUCCUCAUCCUCCUCGCGACCUCGGUCCUGUGAAGUUCCUGGAAUUAAGUAAGUUCCUUUAUAAGGCUGGCUGAGAAUAGGAGUGAGGGAGGGAAGUCCAGGGCCGUGUGGAAGAUGGAUCUGUGCUCUUCCCUGACUCCCUCCCCUCCAUUUACACCUUUCUUUCUUUUUCUCUCCCUCCCCUAGCAUCUUUCCAUCUCCUGACCAGCCUGCCAAUGUGCCUGUCCUCCCAGCUGCCAUGAACACUGGGGGCUCCUUACCUGACCUCACCAACCUGCACUUUCCUCCACCGCUGCCCACCUCCCUGGACCCUGAAGAGACAGCCUAUCCCAGCCUGAGUGGGGGCAAUAGUACCUCCAAUUUGACCCACACCAUGACUCACCUGGGCAUCAGUGGAGGUCUGGGCCUGGGCCCGGGCUAUGAUGCACCAGGUGAGUGGCUUUCCUGGCUGUGUAUGUGCCCACCAGAUGCUGCCUGACUAGAGGGAUGGAGGGUCGGGAGGUUUGAGCUGGAUCCUAUAAUGCCCACCAGUCCAGCAACCCGGCACCCCCGGAUCCCUGUACUGCAAUUCUCAGCCUAUGAGAACUGGUAGGUGUGACUUUCCUACAAAGAAGAUGGAGAACCACCCCCAGGUGGGCUGUGCCAAUCUCACUGGCAGGAACAGAAUAGGAAGGACAUUGUGUUGCCACUUUCAUAGUCCAGUCACUGCAACCCAUUCGGGGUGGAAAGGAGCCUGGUUCUCAUCAGUAAUGUUGUCAUCUCUGGUUUUUUGUCUGUGCCUGCAGGACUUCAUUCACCUCUCAGCCACCCAUCCCUGCAGUCCUCCCUAAGCAAUCCCAACCUCCAGGCUUCCCUGAGCAGUCCUCAGCCCCAGCUCCAGGGUUCCCACAGUCACCCCUCACUGCCUGCCUCCUCGUUGACCCGCCAUGCACUGCCCACCACCUCCCUGGGCCACCCAUCACUCAGUGCCCCGGCCCUCUCCUCCUCCUCUUCCUCUUCCUCCACUUCCUCACCCAUCCUGGGCACUCCCCCUUACCCAGCUUCUACCCCUGGGGCCUCCCCCCGUCACCGCCGUGUCCCCCUCAGCCCCCUGAGUUUGCCCGCGGGCCCAGCCGACGCCAGAAGGUCCCAACAGCAGCUGCCCAAACAGUUUUCGCCAACAAUGUCACCCACCUUGUCUUCCAUCACUCAGGUAUGCGUGGCUGCUUCCCCACACGUCUGUCUCCCUUCCUCUUCUCUUCUCCUGCAGAGUUUCUCCCUCCAGCCCUCCUUUCCUCAGAUACCUCCUCCCCUUACUUUCUGCACCCUUUGUCUCAUCCAUCCCCUGCUACCCCUGUGUGUCCUCCACCUGCCACAUCUUUUAUUUGUCUGUCUCCUCUUUGCUUACGAACCCCAGGGUUAGCCUUUGGUUUCAAAUCCUGGUUCUGCCUUUCCUAGGAGUCCCCUUUGACAACCUCUGUGUGUCUCAGUAGUCUCCUUUAUAAAACAGAAUCGGCUUUGUAAGCAUCGAGUGCCGUAAGGGACAUGGAGUACUUUGCACCGUGCCUGCCAGCCCAGGCCCGUGCUUGGCAGAUGAUAGCUUAUCCUCUCCUUUUUAUCUUUUCUCUGUUCUCACUCUUCUUGUCUCUUUAUUUUUUGCCCGAGCUUCUGUCUUUUCCCAUCGCCUCUCCCAUUUCCCCUCCUUCUUAGAAUUCGUAGAAUCAGAGACUCUCUGACCGUGGAGCUCAGUCUCUUUCCACUUUACAGAUGAGGAAACUGGGGCCUAGAGGGAAGGUGGCUUCCCCAGAUUCACCUGGCAGGUUGGAACUAGAACUGCAGACUCAGAACUUAGGACUUUUUCCUCAGCGCUAAAGCACUAAGCUCUACUCUCCUCCCCACCCUUCCUUACUCUUUUCUUUCUUUGUCAUCUCUGCUCCCAUUUCUCACCCUUAUGCUCUCUUUUCCCUCUCCUCUGUCCUACCUUCCCCUCCUCCUCCGUUCUGUCCCCUGGAGUGUGUGUUCUGGGUUCCAUCUCUGCCUUCUCCUCUAAGACCACGGCCAGGCCACAGGUGCUCCGUGAUUUCAGUGGCAGAGGGAAGGAACCUCUCCUCCCUCCUUUUCUGCUUUUCCUUCCUUUCUCUUCCACUUCCUCUGGCCUCUUCAGUCUUCAGAACAACCCCUUUCACCUGCACUGGGUGUUAACAGGCACUUGUGAGGGUGUGUCACAAGUACUUGAUUACUGACGACCAUUAAGCUGUCAGUGUUGGGGAAGGAUUCCUUUCUGGAGCAGGUUCAGUAUUACCCUAGUGUUAACCUCUCUCAGCACUUCCAUUCUAAUAUGCAUGUUUUUGAAAAAUAUUUUUUUAGUUAUAGAUGGACACAAUAUCUUUAUUCAUUUAUUUUAUGUGGUGCUGAGGAUUGAACCCAGUGCCUCACACUUGCGAGGCAGGCGCUGUACCACUGAGCCACAGUCCCAGUCCUAAUAUGCAUUUUUGAGUUACUGCCACCAAGCUCAGGGGUGCCCAUGAGAACAUGGAGCGUUAUCAUGUUUGCAUUGAGGGUGGCUGCAGCUUAGAGAAUGGGAAGCUCUAUGAGUUUUUCUUGGAGGGCUAAGUUUCCUCCAUUUUCUUGUUUCUUUUCAGGGCGUCCCCCUGGACACCAGUAAACUGUCUACUGAUCAGCGACUGCCCCCCUACCCAUACAGCCCUCCAAGUCUGGUUCUGCCCACCCAGCAACCCACCCCAAAGCCUCUGCAGCAGCCAGGGCUACCUGCUCAGGCCUGUUUAGUGCAGCCCUCUGGUGGCCAACCCCCAGGCAGGCAGCCACAUUAUGGAAUACUGUACCCACCUGGGUCCACUGGGCACGGGCAACAGUCUCACCACCGGCCAGUGAGUGACUUCAGCCUGGGAAAUGUGAGUACUCAGGCUCCUAGCUCAGAAGCAGGGAGAGGGGCUGGGGUGGGUCCGGGGGGCCUGAGUGGUAUCUCUGAAUUACGACAUCCAGAAGAAGGGGUCUCCCUUUGUCUCAGGUAACAGCACUGCCAGCUUGGGGCUCCUGUUUUCCUGCGUUUGACCCCUACUCCUGCCCCCCUGUUUCUGCUCAGCUUGCUCUUUGAUGACUCCUGCCUUGACCCGUUCUCUUCCUGGCAUGCACAUGCUCUGGCCCAGCAGGUACGGUGCCCAUACCUACUUCGGGCCCCGUGCUCGCUUCUCUUGCUCUGCUUGCUGCCAGCCUCCUCUGUCUUUGCCUCUGUUCCUGGGGUGGAUGAAGAUUGCUGGGUGAAGGGGACAUGUUAACAUGUCUGGGCAAGGGCAGGCAGGGACAUCCUGUUCUGAAGCCUACUUCUUCAAGAUGUGUCUUUGUGUCUUUAGCUGGAGCAGUUCAGCAUGGAGACCCCAUCAACCAAUCUGGUGCUGGAUCCCCCUGGCUUUUCUGAAGGGCCUGGAUUUUUAGGGGAUGAGGGGUCAGUGAGUGGCCCCCAGGACCCUCACACCCUCAACCACCAGAACUUGACCCACUGUUCCCGCCAUGGCUCAGGACCUAACAUUGUCCUCACAGGUGAGUGGGCAUGGGUGGUGAUGGCAGUGAAAGGAAGGGAGUGGGGCCGUGGUUGGGGCUCAGCCGCAGCACACUUGCCUGGCAUGUGUGAGGCACUGGGUUCGAUUCUUAGCAUCACAUAUAAAUAAAUAAAAUAAAGGUCAUCAACAACUAAAAAAAUAUUAAAAAAAAAAAUAAAAGGGAAGGAGUGAUACCUUUGCCAACAUAAGAAAUGGAGGAGUCUUGGGGGAGUUCAUGAGGUAUGCGGUCCUUACUUAUCUCUUACCCACAGGAGACUCCUCCCCAGGAUUCUCCAAGGAAAUCGCAGCGGCCCUGGCUGGAGUGCCUGGCUUUGAGGUGUCAGCAACUGGAUUGGAGCUGGGGCUUGGGUUGGAGGAUGAGCUGCGCAUGGAGCCACUGGGCCUGGAAGGGCUAAACAUGCUGAGUGACCCCUGUGCCCUGCUGCCCGAUCCUGCUGUAGAGGAUUCAUUCCGCAGUGACCGGCUACAGUGAGGGAACCUUGCCACCAUCCUUCUCGGCCCCAUCUCCCGUCACUGUCCCUUUCCUCCCUUUCCCCUGGCCAGUAACGACUCCACUCUCUGCCCCCGUGUUCUCUUUCUAACAUGAACAAAGGAUCCUAAGAAUGAGAAAAAGCAAGGGGUUUGUCCAGGUGGCCCCUGAAUUCUGCACAAUGGGUAGGCCUGGGGGAGCCCAAGGGAGGGCCUAAAGCACUUGUAACUUUGAAAAACGUCUGUCUGGAGGUCAGAGCCUGUUGGAAAGCAGGGGUAGAGGGGAACCCCAGAGGCAGGGCUUACCCAGAUGCCUAGGGGUGGGCAGUGCCAGCCCCUCCUCACUACUCUUCUCCUUGCAAUGGAGGAAAAGAGCCAGAGUGGAUAUUAUUUUUUAUUAAAUAUAUUAUAUGUUAAUAAAAAAAUCCUGUCAAACCCUUGGUGUGG